rnacentral:rRNA from 1 species
CCCUUAGAUGUUCGGGGCCGCACGCGCGCUACACUGAAGGAAUCAGCACGUCUUUCUCCUUGUCCGAAAGGACUGGGUAACCCGCUGAACCUCCUUCGUGCUAGGGAUUGGGGCUUGUAAUUCUUCCCCAUGAACGAGGAGUUCCCAGUAAGCGCGAGUCAUAAGCUCGCGUUGAUUACGUCCCUGCCCUUUGUACACACCGCCCGUCGCUACUACCGAUUGGAUGGUUUAGUGAGAUCCUCGGAUCGGUCCCGGAGCGGCCUCUGGUCGUGCCGGAGUGCCGAAAAGAAUGUCGAACUUGAUCAUCUAGAGGAAGUAAAAGUCGUAACA